UCCCAUGCGAUUCUCAUGGUAGUGAAUAAUCUCACGAGAUCUGGUGGGCUUAUCAGGGGUUUCCAGUUUGGCUUCCUCUCAUUUUCUCUUGCUGCUGCCGCGUAAGAAGUGUCUUUUGCCUCCCGCCGUGAUUCUGAGGCCUCCCUCCCCAGCCAUGUGGAACACUAUUUUCAGCCAGUAAGUGGAUCUCCCACCAGCCCUGUAGGAGGGGAUGAGGGGAACCGCCUGCGCAAGAUGAUGACGGAGAGAGAAGGCUGGCAUGCUGACCCCGUCUCACCUGUCCUCACAGGGUUAUUCAAUUCUUACCCUAGGACUCGAGAGCAACGAACAAGUGAGUCUGAGAUUGCCUAGUCGGUUAGUACCCGAUCACUUAAUCCAAACGAUCACAGUGUAGGUGGGCGCCCUCCGUGUGGGUUCCAUCAUUCUAGACUUUCCACUGUUUUCAUUUGAACCCGCCUUUGCAGGGUACUCAGUGUCCUCAGCCGCAUCCUCCAAUGCUGGUACUUUCAAGUCCAAGAGAGUGAACAUUAAAUCUUGAAAGUUAUUUCAGCCUGUUGUUUGAAGGCUCUGACAUCCCUGGGCUGCACCAGCUGCGGGCCAGGGUGCUGGCAGAUGCAGGAGAUGCUGUGGUGGGCACAGGGAGGGCAGCCGUCACCUGGGGCUUGUUUAUGGGCUGCGACACGCCGCUGGUUCUGAGCAGGAAAGCACCACCCGUCUCCGGCUGCUCUACUGCUCAGGACUGUGUGAAAAGCCUCUCAAAGCCAUGCUGCUUCGUGGCAGAAGGCUACUCGCAUUGCUGUAAGGUGGGUCUGAACAAAGCCCUCGCCGCGUGGGAGAAGCGGGUGGAACUUCCUGGGGCAGCGGCAGCCCCACGGCCUGGAAGCGGCGCACAGGAGGGUAGGGAGCCGGCCAUUUGCAGAGCAGAAAACGGCGUGCAAUGCUUGUUUUGGUUUAUGAAUUUCCUCUCCGGGAGCAGGGAACCCUGCUGGGGCCUCUGCCUGGGACUGUGAACGGCGCUGGCCCCUACGAAGAUUAGCUUGUCUCGAUUUCAUUUCGUCUCACAGGCUGAGUAUAUUUUAUGGGUUUUUGUGAAAGGCGUGAUUUAUGCUUUGAGACUCCUGGAAAAGCUCCUGGCUUUUAAAAAUAAUCUCUGAAAAUGAAUUUCUUCUGGGGGUCAGUGACAUUGCCUUGUGGCCCAGGAGGGCUCAGGCCUCAACAGCAUCACGGUUUGGGUAUUUCCCUCUGCCGUCAAAAUUCACUGCUUCUUUCAAAAUUCGCUUUAAAGAAUCAGCUACAUCAAAUACGUUCGCCUACUUCUCUCUCCCAUGCCUGUGGCCCAUCCCCCACCCCCGCCCCACCCCCUGCCCAGCACUUACCUGCUUCUCCUCCUAGCAGGCCAGCCAUUUGUCGAUUGAAUUUUCAGGGAGUGUACAAACAUCACUCAGGUGGAAGCAGGGGCAGGGCUGUGCUUUGGAACUGAGACCCCUGCUGCUGGCCCCUGGUGACCCGCCACGCGCUCCCUACUCAGGGCUUCUGAGGAUGUCUUGGGAGGGGCUGUGCUGUGCUUUGGAACUGAGACCCCUGCUGCUGGCCCCUGGUGACCCACCACGCGCUCCCUACUCAGGGCUUCUGAGGAUGUCUUGGGAGAGGCUGGGCUGUGUUUCACUUUGUUCUGCUUCUCAUUGAAAUGACUCUUCCCCGCUAGCAGUCGCUUAAAAAGAUUAAAGAUCAAUUCACCUCUGGCCAGCCACAGUCUGGGAGGGAAAAGCAAAAUCAGUGAGGAGGCCAGCAAGGUGGCUCACCCCUGUAAUCCCAGCACUUUGGGAGGCCAAGGUGGGCGGAGAGAUUGAGACCAGCCUGGCCAACAUGAUAAAACCCUGUCUCUAUUAAAAAUACAAAAAUUAGCCGGGCAUGAUGGCACACCUGGGAAGGCUGGGGCAGGAGAAUGGCUUAAACCCGUGAGAAGGAGGUUGCAGUGAGCCGAGGUUGUGCCACUGUAUUCCAGCCUGGGCGACAGGGCAAGACUCCCUCUCAUGAAAAGGGAACUCGGUGACGUAAUAAGAAAGGAGGAGGGCAGGCAGAAGAGCCCUGUGAGCUCUGGCCGCAGGCAGGUGGCGGGUGCUGGGAGGCCCUGUGUGACCCUCCCCGGUCCUGAGGGGAAUUGGAGGUAGGGCGGGAAGGAAGGGCUGGGCACUGUGAUGAGAUGCCUGAUGGGAGGCUGCAGGCACGGUGGCCACCAAUCUGCUCUUCGGCCUCCUCUCCAAUUACUCUCCACAUUCCCUCAGGUCCCUUGAGUUUAAAAGUUAAUUUUAUUGCAAUUUUAAGACAGGGUCUCCCUCUGUCGCCCAGGCUGGAGUGCAGUGGCACAAUUACAGCUCCCUCCAGCCUCGACCUCCUGGGCUCAGAUGAUCCUUCCACCUCAGCCUCCUUCAUGGGACCACUGGCACUCACCACCACACCAGAGUAAUUAUUGUAUUUUUAGUAGAAACAGCGUUUUGCUAUGUUGCCCAGGUUGGUCUCGAACUCCUGGGCUCAAGUGAUCUGCCUGCCUCAGCCUCUCAAAGUGCUGGGAUUACAGGCAUGAGCCACCUCGCCUGACCUAAGAAAAUUUUUAAACUUAUUUUUAUUUUUAAUAAUGGUGAAAUAAACAUAACGUAAAAUUGACCGUUUUCACGUCUCUAAGUGUCAGGGGCAUUAAGCUCAUUCAUAUUGUGCUUUUCUCAUUCUCCCCAGCUAUGACAAAGCUCUGUCCCCAUUCAGCACAGACUCCCACCCCUUCCCCUCAGCCCUUGGCAGCCACCAUUCUACAUUCUCUGUUAAAUUCUUCUUUUUAAAAAAACAAAAAAACAGAGUUUUGCUCUAUCGCCCAGGCUGGAGUACAGUGGUACGAUCUUGGCUCGCUAAAACCUCCCAUCCCAGGUUCAAGCAAUUUUUCUGCCCCAGCCUCCUGAGAAACUGGGAUUGCAGGUGCCACCACACUGGGCUAAUUUUUGUAUUUUUAUUUAAGACAAGGUUUUGCCAUGUUGGCCAGGCAGGUCUCGAACUCCUGACCUCAAGUAAUCCACCUGCCUCGGCCUUUCAAAGUGCUGGGAUUACAGGAGCCUCUGCGCCCGGCCUGUAUUAAUUUUACAUAUAUCUUUUUUUCCUUUUUUAACUCCCCAUCACCUUCCUGGCAGCAGUUCAGAUAUUUCACAUAAGUAGAAUUACACAGUAUUGGUCCUUGUGUGACUGGCUCAGUCCUUUUCUGACUUGACGGCAUAAUUGAAACUGCCCUCACAGGGUUAACCAGAAUCGCAUGCUGGGUUCUGGGUGGCAACAGAGGUGUCAUGAAGCGUUCAUCAGGCUGCACCGGGGCUCACUUCGUUGGUGCUGAAAUCCCGUAGCCCACGCCCCGGACCACCUGCAGCCGCAGUAUUCCCACAUAGAGGAUGGCAGACGUUGGCGUGAUGAGGCCUUUGUUUAAGAAUUGCCAAGUUGUUCCUCAGCUCCUGGAUUCCAGCAGAUGAGCGGACGCCGACCAGUGUGAAGACCCCACGGAGGAACGGAGCCCGCCUGAGAACCCCACAGAGGAACCAAGGAGUCCGCCCGAGAACCCCACAGAGGAACCGAGGAGUCCGCCCGAGAACCCCGCAGAGGAGCGGAGUCCGCCUGAGAAUGCAGGUUCUUCCUGUCCCCGUCCUGUGACUUCUCCCCACGCUCCUCCUCCCAUCUGGUCUGGUCCCACCUCGGACCACUCCAACCCCCUGAAAUCCCUACUGGCCCCCUAAACUCGCCAGGGGCGGAUUUGAGGAGUUCUCCCUUCUGCUUGUUCGAAGGCCUUGGGAUUAAAACUCCAUUGGCUGCAACUCUGGGGGUGGGUGUCUGAGUACUCACUGGCCGUGCCCCGGGCUGGGGGCCAAUUACAGUCGCAGAGUGUCCUCAGGGCUCAUCCAUCAUUGCCAGCUGUGUCGGGAGUCCCUUCCUCAGAUUGAAUAAUAUUCCAAACUUCUUUGACUUUUUCAACCCACAAUUUGUUGGGGUUUUUUUGAGUCUUGCUCUGCAGCCCAGGCUGGAGUGCAGUGGCGCUAUGUUGGCUCACGGCAACCUGGGCCUUCUGGGUUCAAGUGAUUCUCCUGCCUCACCCCCAUCCCAAGUAGCUGGGAUUACAAGCAUCUGCUAUGAUGCCUGGCUAAUUUCUGUAUUUUUAGUUGAGACAAGGUUUUGCCAUGUUGGCUAGGCUGGUCUGAAACUCCUGAGCGCAGGUGAUCUGCCCACCUUGUCCUCCCAAAGUGCUGGGAUUACAGGCCUGAGCCACCACGACCAGCCUCAUAAUUUGUUCACUUGCUUUUGAUUGGAAGAAGACAGGUGAAGCUCUUCUCAGAUUGUGAGUCAGGCCAGGCACAGUGGCUCACACCUAUAAUCCCAGCACUUUGGGAGGCCGAGGCAGGUGCAUCACGAGUUCAAGACCAACCUGGCCAAGAUGGUGAAACCCCGUCUCUACUAAAAGUACAAAAAUUAGCCAGGCGUGGUGGUAGGCGCCUGUAAUCCCAGCUACUUGGGAGGCUGAGGCAGGAGAACUGCCUGAACCCGGGAGGUGGAGGCUACAGUGAGCCGAGAUCGUGCCACUGCACUCCAGCCUGGACGACAGAGCAAGACUCUGUCUCAAAAAAAAACAAAAAACAAAAACAAAAAAACACAGGUUGUGAGUCAAAUCUUGCCCCAUGCUGCUUAAACCCUCCUGUGGCUUCCUUGUGAAGGUAGGAUAGGCCCAAGCCCCAGCCCAUCUUCCUGGCUGCCUCUCUCUAGGCAGCCCCAGGCGGGUGCUGGGAUCCCGGCUCUUCACCCGGUGCCUUGAAGGGGCCGAGGCUGCUUUGCCGCUGGCCGUCCCGCCUGGCUGUUCCUGGGCCCUAAAUACUUUCUUCAAACUCUCGUCAUUUGGGUCUUAUGGAAGAAAAGAGGGAAACUGUAAAACAGUUGAAAUUUACGUUGAGUCAAAUAAGCGUGACCAUGGCCUGAGGGAGGCUCUCAGGAGCUCCUGAGAACACGUGGGCGAGGUGGUCGGGCUACAGCUGGGUUUUAUGUUUUAGGGAGACAUAGGCCAUCCAUCGGUGCAUGUGAGAUGUGCAUUGGUUCAGUCCGGAAAGGCGGGACAGCCGGUAGUGGUGGGUGGGGGCUCCGGGUCACAGGUCAUAGAUGGAUUCAAAGAUUUUCUGAUUGGUGAUCAGUUGACAGAGUUAAGUCUUAUCUAAAGACCUGAAUGACUAGAAAGGAAUGUCUGGGUGAAGAUAAGGGGUUGAUAAGGUUUUGGCUGUGUCCCCGUUCAAAUGUCAGCUUCAAUUGUGUCUCCCAGAACUCCCACCUGUUGUGGGAGGGACCUGGGGAGGUAAUUGAAUCGUGGCACCUGGCCUUUCCUGUGCUGUUCCUGUGAUGGAGAAUAAGUUUCAAGAGACCUGCUGCGUUUCUCAGGGUUUUCCCUUUUGCUUCUUCCUCAUUCUCUCUUGCUGCUGCCAUGUAAGAAGCACCUUUCACCCUCCGCCAUGAGUAAGGUCUCCCCAGCCAUGUGGAACUGUAAAUCCAAUUAAACCUCCUUUUCUUUUCUUUUUUUAUUUUUAUUUUUAUGAGAUGGAGUCUCCCACCGUCAUCUGGGCUGGAGUGCAGUGGCACAAUCUCAGCUAAUUGCAACCUCCACCUUCCGGGUUUAAGCAAUUCUCCUGCCUCAGCCUCCCAAGUAGCUGGAAUUAUAGACAUGUACCACCAGGCCCAUCUAAUUUUUUUUUGUUUAAUAGAGACAAGGUUUUACCAUGUUGGCCAGGCUGGUCUUGAACUCCUGACCUCAAGUGAUCUACCCGCCUCAGCCUCCCAAAGUACUGGGAUUACAGGCUUGAGCCACCGUGCCUGCCUGCCUUUUUUUUUUUUUUUUUCUUAGAGUCAGGAUUUUGCUGUGUCAUCCAGGCUGUGAUGUGAAACCACCUUUGCAAAAUUAUGACAGUAGGAGAAGCCUGCCACAGCUGACUCCAUCUUGCAUCUAAGCUCUAAGCUGUCUUCACUCAUUCCUGGGUAUAGGCCAAGCUGGCCUUGGGAGGAAUUAGUUAUAGUUUAACUGGAAAGUGAGGAUAAUAACACCCCUCCCUAAAGCUAAAUCCCUCCUUGCCCAGGGACCCAAAACUGCAUUUGUAAGACUAAGGAAAGCCGGUGAGAUUAGGGUUGUGGAAGGGACCUGAAUUCUGCCAAAAUGUACAUAUACUUUCUAUAAUCUCUUCCUGUUCGAGUCAUGUGGCCAGAGGUGACAGGAUCUGUGACAUGCUGAAGUGCUCCUAGAGAUAACAUCACUCUUAUAGAACCUAAGAUUGGCUUUUUGAGAUUUUUUUUUUAGAUUUUUGGCAAUGGACUGAUCCCAUCCAGACUCGUGACUCAGUCCGUCCUGGGGCCCCCCAAGGGGACUUGCAUGAAGAGUGUUUUCCACACACCUAUGAUUUCAUCCACAACCAAUCCGCAGCACCACUCCCUAGGCCCCUGCCCACCAAAUUGUCCCUAAAACCCUCAGCUUUGAGUUCUUGGGGAGACCGAGUUGAGAAGUAACUCUGUCUCCCCCAUGGGCAGCCUCCCAACAAUUCUUUCUUACUGCAAUGCUGUGGUCCGGUGAGUUGGUUUGGUUUAUGCAGCAGGUGGGAAGAACCCGUCAGACAAGGACAACGGUCUUCUCUUCCUCUGGAGGGAAGCUGGUGCUACGUGAAUAAGGACCUAGUUUUUCUAGUCUGCAGUUUGGGAGGGCAUGGUGCAGGUGCACUGGAGACCCACUGUUACCCUCGCACCUGAGGGUGGAUGGGCCCCGGAGCAGAAGGUGGAGAGUGAAGGGUUGAGCAGGGAGGGUCAAGAGGCGAACACCCCAGUGUACCAAAUGCCUCUUCUCACCACUUAGGAAGGAAUUUGGGAAGCGGAACCAGAGGCUGUGGGCGUGAAUGAAGUCUCGCUUGCCUCCCUACAUUUCGGGAACUUUCCCAUGUGCAUGAGUCCUCUGGCUUUAUCAGUGAGCAGGAGGAGCUGCAGAGAGGCAGGGCAGGAGAGGGGUUCGCACUGGACCGAGAGGCCCGGGACUGCAGCGGACCAGGGACCCUUUGUGCCGUGCUGUCUUGUGUGAGUCCCGCUGAACAAGUGAAGUCUGGCGUUCCUCCUCCUAAUCAAAGCGCCUGGCUCUCUGCCCCGUCAAUGCACUACUCAGUGUUUCUCCAGACCCCUGCUGACUCCAUCAGGGAGGCACUGUGUCCCAAGGUACCCUGACUUUUGUAUCGUUUGAGUAGAGAUGGGGUUUUACCAUGCCCAGCAUGGGGGGUCACCGAAAACUCACACACUGUCUGCUCUUCAGCACUGAGGCUGAAGAAUAGACUCGGAGCCAGUGAGUGCGGCAUGGGGGUCACCGAAAACUCACACACCAGGCAGGCCAGGAGCGGCGGGCUGGACUGGAAAACUGCUGCUAUGUGUAAAAAGCAGUUUAUACGGCAUUUCCCCACCUCCAGCCCCUGUUCAGCCUGUGUUCCAAGGAGUGGGCCAGGGUUCGGAGGUCCCGCAGAGGUGAAGAGAACCUCCUGGUUGGACACCCCCAGAUUCCUUCGCUCAGGACUCUGAACACACACCCUUUGUAGGCCACGGCGUGGUUCUCGGGCUGUGUGCAAGUCACCGCUGUCAGGGCGUCCGCGUCAGCUAGCCUGUAAUGCUUGGCAGCCACGACCUUGACUGUCAGCAAUGACAAUGUGUAUUGUCUAGAUUUGGUUUCUGGAGUGAGUUCAGUCAUUCAGAAAGGGCAAGUUAGUUGUCACUCAGGGAACUUACAAGUGGUUUGUUAGAGAAGGAUAUCGUGACUCCCGAACUCUCCUGAGAACUCCUGAGGGGUGGUUUGCCCUAGAGGAAGCAAGUGUGGGCGGAAAAUAGACAGUUUGGAAGGCUGAGGUUGCAGUGAGCUGAGAUCGUGCCAUUGCACUCUGGUGUGGGUGACAAGAGCAAAACUCUGUCUCAAAAAAAACACAAAAAUUAGCAAGGUGUGGUAGUGCGUGCCUGCAAUCCCAGCUACCCGGGAAGCUAAGGCAGGAGAAAUGCUUAAACUGGGAGGUGGUGGUUGCAGUGAGCUGAAAUCGUGCCAUUGCACUCCAGCCUAGGCAAUAAGAGCAAAACUCCAUCUCAAAAAAAUAUAUAUAAAUACAAAAAUUAGUGAGAUGAUAGUGCAGCUGUCUGGGAAGCUAAGUCAGGAGAAACGCUUCAACCGGGACGUGGAGGUUGCAGUGAGCCGAAAUCGUGCCAUUGCACUCCAGCCUGGGCAACAACAACGAAACUCCAUCUUAAAAAAAAAAACUGGAAAGGAGAGAACCGUUCUAGUUACCCUGCUCACGUGGCCAUCACAGCCUUCCUUGGAUCUUGCCAACGUGAGGAAAAUAAAAGUGGCUCCCACGUGUGGAGCACCUACUGUACCUUAGGCAAGCGCUUUCUGUGUAUUAACUCGGGUUGCACCACAACCCUGUAAGUCAUGAGUCCUGGACAAUUAAAGUGAUUCAAAUAUGAGUUUUGUUAGCCGUGUACCCAGUGUUACACAGCUAAUGUACCACAGGUGCGAUUCAAAUCUAAGUCUGUGUGGCUCCCAGGUCAGUCCCUUAAGUAGAAAUACCACCCUCACUUAGCAAUACAAUUUUAGGGUUAUCGAAAGACCUCUAACUGAAGGUAUGGUCUGAGAUCAAGGGUGCAACUCCCUCCCUUAGAAAGUUUGGGGGAAAAAGCACAUUCUAAAUAAUAUAUAUUAGCAAGAUAUCAUCUAUCCUACUAGAUUUUUAAUUAAAAAAAUCUUAACUAAAACUAUAAUUUGAUUAAAACUAUGAUUUUAGAUAGUUAAAAGCAUUUUUAAAAUACCAAAACUUAGUUUCUUUAUUUUUUAUUUUUUUAUUUUUUGAGAUGGAGUCUCGCUCUGUCUCCCAGGCUGGAGUGUAGUGGUGCAAUCUUGGCUCACUGCAACCUCAGCCGCCCGAGUAGCCGGGAUUACAGGUGUGAGCCACCACACCUGGCCCUACAGUUUCAAGAUGACGGGAUGACAGGAUUUCUACCUUACCCUCUGUCUGAAGCAAAAUUAGAAGGCAAAGUCACAGAAACAGAAGUCUUGCUUGUGGUAAGACAAGACGCCUGGAAGCCUGAACCACAGUGUCGAAGAACAGCAGCCGACAGUGGACCUGAAAAUGAUGCCCCAGAGGGGAGGAUGGUCUGGAGCCGCCUGUGAUUCCUCCACAUGACCCGUGUGAAAGGAAAGUAAAACCUCGAGACCAAACUCGCCACGCCCAAGGGAAUGGGGUCACGCAAUGCCUGCCUUCCAUUUCCAAACAGCUGUAAUUCCCAUGCCUAUAUGAUCUCAUGUCAAACCUACUGAGUGUGAGACGAAUGUGUGACUGGCUUUCCCCCAACUAAGUUCUUUUUUUUUUUUUUUUUUGAGAUGGAGUCUCGCUCUGUUUCCCAGGCUGGAGUGCAAUGGUGCGAUCUUAGCUCAUUGCAACCUCUGCCUCCUGGGUUCAAACGAUCCUCCUGCCUCAGCCUCCCAAGUAGCUGGGAUCAUAGGCGUGUGCCACCAUGCUAAUUUUUUUUGUGUUUUAGUAGAUAUGGGGUCUUGCCAUGUUGGCCAGUCUGGUCUGGAACUCCUGACCUCAAGUGAUCGGCCCACUUCAGCCUCCCAAAGUGCUGGGAUGACAGGCAUGAGCCCCUGUGCCCAGCCCGCUCCAUUCUUUACACAGGUGAAGUGUAGAUUUGCUGAGCGCUAAUCAGAGCCUCUUGAGAAUGUGUCCACUCACCUGUUUUCCUACCUCCUUUGCUUCCCUUUUCUCCUUUCUCUUGAAAUACUGAAGUCCUCAAACCCCUCUUUGGAAAAAGCACAGGACACAGAUUCCAUGGCGGCUUGUGUUUCUUUCUCCUGGGCACGUGCUGAACCUCAGCAAAGUGAAUCUCUAAACCAACUGGAAUCUGCCUCUGUCACUUUUCCUUUUGUUUUUAAUCGGCCAGUUUAAGGGCUUCAUUGGUCACCGUUUGCUUUACAUCCAUUAAGGACAGGGGAAGAAGCACAGCUGCUGGACCCCUCGCAGGGUCGGGCCAGGCAGGAGGGUGAACGGCUGUGGUUCAACGUCUGGAUAGGGACUAGUUAGACGCCCAGUUCCUAGCCCCUAGGGUUAGGCCAUCACUCUUUCCCCUUCGUUUAGGGUUUAGAGUUUUACUUUAUAAAAACAGAACUGGAGAGAUUCCAGUUUGGGAACCAGGCCUAUGGGAGGAAGGAUAUUGAAGCAGGAUGUUUCCUGACCUCUUUGCAGGCGGGAACUGAAGUGUAUGGGCACCAGCAGGGGCGAACUCCACUCACUUGCUGCUCCACCCCUCGUGGGAGGGGGACACAGGUGAGCAUGUGCAGGAGUCAGGGUGAGCGCUUUUGGGUGCUGGCAAGAGCAAUCUCCAUACCUGCCCCACAGCAGCAUCUAAAGGAGGGUGCCUGCAACCCCUGAAGCCCCAGAGGAACUGUUACAGUGCACUUUUAGCUUUGCCAUCUGUGGCUUAAGUACUGACACUCAGCACACGGCCAACGUGACAGCCUUUUGCAGCCACACUUGUAGCACAUGAGUUCUUGUCUGACGCCCAGGAGGAAUGAGGUUGCAUGAAUGAAUUGAAGGUGGUCAAUGCAGGAGAUUUUGCUGCUGAUGAAAGUGGCUCUCAGCAGUAAGAGGAGCUGAAAAGGGGAUGAAGUGGGAAGGUAAUUUCUCCGAAGCUACGCCCUCAAGCUGUUCCUCUGAAGUCAAGUCACUUCUCUCUGAUGUCCAACCAUAGUCUGUAACGUCCAGCUGUUUCUCCUCUCCCUGCCAGCUGAACCUGGGGUUUUUAUGAGCACAGGACUGGGGGCAAGGCAGGCCAUGGGUGGUUUUGGAAAACGCAGCAUUUGAGCCAGAAAACAGGGAUGUCUGUUCUCACUUUGGGCCACAGUACCAGUGUUUAAGUGCUUUCCUGCCCCCUGUCCUUAUCAAUAUUUGAUGAGUUAAGUAUUGGGUGUGAUAAUGGAAUGGUAGUUAUGGUUUACCAGAAACCCAGUCCUUACCUUUUAUCCUGAAAUGUUUAUGGGUGAAAUGGUACAAUGUGUGGUGCUGACUUCAAAAUAAGCUGGGUGGGAAAAGGGUGCAGGUGCAGGGAGAAGGUGGCUGUAGAGGAGACGAGCUGAGGGGUACACUGGGGGCUGCUUGGCUGUGAGAAUUUAUUAGGCCCAUCUCUCUACUUCUGUAGAUGUUUAGAAUUUUAUCCAAUAAGAUACUUUAAAAAAUUAAAAGUGAUGGCCCCGUAUGGUGGCUCAUCCUGUAAUCCCAGUACUUUCGGAGGCUGAGGCAGGCAGAUUGCUUGAACCCAGGAGUUUGAGACCAGCCUGGGCAACAUGGUGAAACCCCGCCUCUACAAAAAAUACAAAAAUUACCCAGGCAUGCGACCACAUGCCUGUAGUUCAAGCUACUCAAGAGGCUGAGGUGGGAAUAUCAAUAGAGCCUGGGUGGUUGAGGCUGAAGUGAGCUGAGAUUGCGCCACCGCACUCCAGCCUGAGUGACAGAGUGAGAUCCUGGAAAAAAAAAAAAUUAAAUGAUGUCACCUGGGUAGAACAAAACAGUAACCCCCAGAGCAAUCGUGGAGGUGAGGGACCUGGGGAAGCGGAAUCCAGGCUGGAACCUUCGACAGAGAGGCCUUACCCAGUGUUACCUGAGGAGGAGUGGACAUCGCCGGGGGCAGGGCUGGCCCAGGACCUGUGCAGCAGCAGGGAAUUCCACAAAGGAAGGAAGAUAUUCUGUAAGGGAGGGAGGAGGGGGCAGGACACGGCAAACAGAUGGCCAACAUGGCCCCACGUGGGUGUGCUUUGCUCAACGUCCUCCUCAUCUUGAAAAGGAAGGAAAAGGGCUCUUUUCGAAACAUGACUGAAAUAAUUUUAGGACAAUAACAAGGCAUCAUGAUAUUAAUAUAAAGAAAGAGAACUGGAAAUUGUAUCCACCUGGGUAAUUUUCUAUCCUCUCUGAGAUCAAAUUUUCUAAUUUGUAAAAUGAGGGGGUUGGACAAGGUCCAUGGCUAUCAAUCUUCCUCCUACUUCAUACUGAGCUAUUUACUAUCUGUAUGUCAGUGUUUGCACCUCAAAAAUACAUAAAAUAUCUUAAAGUAAUCAUAUUUCCUCAGGAAACAUAUAAUCAAAAACCUACUUAGCAAAUUUAAUUUGAAAGAUGGUGAGGCAGGAGAAUCACUUGAGGCUGGGAGUUUGAGGCCUUCCUGGGCAACAUAGUGAGAUCCCUCUGUACAAAAAAAAUUUAAAAAUUAGCUGGGCAUAGUGAUACAUGCCUGUAGUCCCAGGUACUUGGGAGGGUAGGGCUGGAGGAUUGCUUGAGCCCAGGAAUCCAAGGCUGCAGUGACCUAUUGUCAUGCUACUGAGUUCCAACCUGAGCGAGAGAGUGAGACACUGUCCUCACCCACAUCUCAUGUUGAAUUGUAGGAAGGACCUGGUGGGAGGUGGUUGAUACAUGGGGCAGCUUCUCCCAUGUUGUUUUUGUGGCAGUGAGUAAGUUCUCAGGAGAUCCGAUGGUUUUAUAAGGGGCUUCCCCCUUCACUCGGCUCUCAUUCUUCUCCCUCCUGCCGACGUGUGAAGAAGGACAUGUUUGCUUCCCCUUCCACCAUGAUAGGUAAGUGUCCUGAGGCCUCUCCAGCCAUGCUGAACUGUGAGUCAAUUAAACCUCUUUUCUUUAUAAACUACCCAGUCUCUGAUAUGUCCUUGUAGCAGGGUGAGAACAGACUAAUACAAUGAGCCACAGAUGGAGGAGGGAGGCUUGUGUCUAGGGUGGUAUUUGACACCUGUGUGUGCGUUCAUGGCUCUGCGUUCAGUUUAUUACCGUUCUCUGUUUUCCAUGCAGAAGUGACUGUAAAACCCAGACUUCAGGAUAUCACUAGGUUGUCAUUAAAAAUGUUUAAGUUUAAAUCUCUGUUUAAAAAAUUAUUCUACAAUUUUUUAAAUGACCAAGUCAGGGCUUAUGAUGUAGAACAGACUGUGAAUCCCAUCACAAUUUUCCGUUUCACGGGGAAACCUCCGUGUGUGUGGAGCCUCACGCUGCACUUCGCUGCCCAUUGGGCUUGUGAUUUUCCUUUGAAAAUGUCAGGGGUGGAGAAGAAAUAAGAAAUGAAAUCAACCUUUGUUUGUUCAUCCUUACAAGAUCUGAAGUUUUCUUUUCUGGUGGCUAUGAUUUUGCCACAACAGAGAAGAAGUUUUGCCUUAAAAAUGUAGGUUUCUUCAACUCCUAGGUAUAUGUCCAAAAGAAUUGAAAGCCGGGACUCAAUCAAAUACUUGUAUACCAAUACUUUUUUUCUUUUUUAAGAGACCGGGUCUUGCUUGUUGUCCAGGCUGGAGGGCAGCGGCAUGAUCAUAGCUCACUACAGCCUCAAACUCCUGGGCUCAAGGGAUCCUCUUACCUCAGCCUCCUGAGUAGCUGGAACUACAGGCAUGCCCCACCAUGCCUGACUAAUUUUUGUUUUUUAGAGACAGGAUUUUACUUUUUGCCCAGGUUGGUCAUGAACUGCUGGCCUGAAACCAUCCUCCCACCUCAGCCUCAAGAGCCAUUAGAAUUAUAGGCGUGAACACCUGGCCUGUACGAUAUCAAUACUCGUAUAGCAGCGUUAUUCACAGCCGCCAAAAGGGAAAGCAGCCCAGGUGUCCAUCAACAGAUAAAUGGAUGAACAAACUGCAGUCUGUGUCGGGGUCCGGCACGUCUGCCGGGGGACUACCGACCUGCAGGAGUCCCCAAGACCACCAACGUAGAUGUCUCGUUCAACCUGAGGGAGAGAGUGCGCGGAAGUGAAAGAAAAUAGAAAAGCGGAGUCUGGAGGGCUGACUUAGGCUAUGUCCAAGAAGCAGCUUUAUUUUUGCAAUGUUUCAUUAUAUACUUUUCUGAAGUCAAAGUUGUUUACACCAGAUCAACGUACUUAAGUUACAGUAAGCAAGUUACGCCCACUAAGUUAUGCCCAGUAAGUAAGUUAAUCCCAUUAAGUAGGUUACACCCAGUAAGUAGGUUACUUUCAGUAAGUAGGUUACGCCCAAUAGGUCAAGGUAAGUAAGUUACAGUCACGCCCUGUAAGACAUGGUAAGUAAGUUACUGUUACACCCAGUAAGUUACGGUAAGUAAGUUACCAAGUGUAAAUACUUAUGUUAAUAUUUUACAAUGAAGGUAACAAGGGUCCAAAAUGAACACAAUCAAGCAAUAAACCAUAAGGAGCCGAAAGUGGACACAUUGACUCCCAAGUCCUCAUAUUCAUAAAGUAAUGUCUGUUAACUAUUUAGAAUAACAUAGUCCCUCUCUCAGUUCCUGCUUUCCCUCAGCUCGACUCCCCCAACCAGGGAUCUGUGUCCGGGCUCAAGCUCACCGUAUGGCAAGGCCCAUUUCCCAGGGGCCUCACACGGGAGCGAUCCCCACAGAUUCCCUCAGGUCUGUCCAUAGAAUCUAAUGUGAUUGAGUCUUACAAAGGAAGGAAAUGACGACACAGCUCACAACACGAUGAGCCUUGGAAACAUGCUACGUGAAAUAAGCCAGACACAGGGAGCACGUGCUCCAGGAUCCCACUUUCAUAAGGCGCCUUCAUAGUCAAAUUCCAGGGCUUGGGACAGAGGGAACGGGGAGUGUUUCACAGGGACAGAAUAUCAGUUUGGGAAGAUGGGAAAGUUCUGGAAAUGGAUGGUGGUAAUUGUUGCACAGCAGUGUGAAUGUCCUUAAUGUCACCGAACUGUAUGUUUAAAAAUGGCUACAUGAGGCCAGUUAUGGUGGCCGACACCUAGAAUCCUAGCGUUUUUGGGAGGCCAAGGCAGAAGGAUUGCUUGAGCCCAGGAGUUUAAGACCAGCCUUGGCAACAUAGUGAGACCUUAUCUAGAAUAAAUUUAAAAAUUAGCCAAGUGUGGUGGCAUGCCCCUGUAGUCCGAGCUGCUCGGGAGGCUGAGGCAGGAGGAUCACUUGAGCAUGAGAGAUCAAGGCUGCAGUGAGCUAUGAUCAUGUUACUGUACUCCGGCCUGAACAACAGAGCGAGACCCUGUCUCAACAAACAAAAAAAGGUUAAAUGAUUGAUAUUAUGUUAUGUAUAUUUUACCACAAUAACAAAGUCACACAGAAAAAUUUUAGGUUUACACUUUGGGUGGCCGAGUUGGGUGUGUCAUAUGAGCCCAGGAGUUUGAGACUGGCCUAGUCAACAUGGCAAUACCCUGUCUAUACUAAACAUACAAAAAUUAGCUGGGUGAUGGCUGCGUGUAGUCCCAGCUACUCGAGACACUGAGGCGGGAAUCGCUUGACCUGGGGAGGCGGAAGUUGCAGGGAUCUGAGAUGGUGCCACUGAUCUCCAGCCUGGGUGGCAAAGCAAGAUUAUCUCAAAAAAUAAAAAAUUAGGGUUAGCUCAUUCUUGUUAAAAAGUGGUGACUCUGAUGGGUGAAACUGCACAGCGUCACUAUUUUCUGUUCGGCGGGUAACGGACACACCAAAUGCAAAGAACAUACAAAGGGCCCAUGAUGAGUGCUGCCGGAUUUUACGUGCGGUCCGCUUCGGUCAGCCCGCUCCCCCUCAGCACUUCGCUUUGAUUCAGUAGCUCUGCAUCGUGGAGUCUCACAUCUUUGCGAAUUAUACGCAAUGCUUGGCUUUCUGGGGCACAGGCAUUUCUGUGUUUUUUUUUUUUCCUUGAGACAGAGUCUCUUUGUCGUCCAGGCUGGAGUGCAGUGGCCCAAUCUCGGCCCACUGCAACCUCCAUUUCCCUGGUUCAAGUGAUUCUCCUGCCUCAGCCUCCUGAGCAGCUGGGAUUACAGGCGCACGCCACUACACACAGCUAAUUUUUGUAUUUUCAGUAGAGACAGGAUUUCACCAUGUUGGCCAAGAUGGUCUCAAUCUCUUGACCUCGUGAUCCGCCUGCCUCGGCCUCCCGAAGUGCUGAGAUUAUAGGCGUGAGCCACUGUGCCGGGCCCGGGGCCCAGGUUUGACACGAUUCCCUGUGUGGAUUGCGCUCUCUAGUCCAUCCCGUUAACACUGUGACAGUCUUCUAUAUUGUGGAUGGCCAAUAGCGACGAACAGAGUGAACUACUGCACGGUGAAUGUCCCAGCUUUCUUCAAGGACCCACCAGGAGAACACAGCAGUGAUUUCCAAAGGCGUGUGGGCAUGAGUUUUUUAUUUUAUUUUAUUAUUUAUUUAUGUUUUGAGAUGGAGUUUUGCUCUUGUCGCCCAGGCUAGAGUGCAGUGGUGUGAUCUCACCUCACUACAACCUCCGCCUCCCAGGUUCAAGCUAUUCUCCUGCCUCAGCCUCGAGAGUAGCUGGGAUUACAGGUGUGCGCCACCACGCCCAGCUAAUUUUUUGUAUUUUUAGUAGAGAUGGGGUUUCACCAUGUUGGCCAGGCUGGUCUCAAACCCCUGACCUCAGGUGAUCCGCCCGUCUCAGCCUCCCAAGCUGCUGGGAUUACAGGCGUGACUCACUGCACUUGGCCUGCAUGAGUAUUUUAAGCAACAACCACACAACUGUGAUUUUGAAGCAGUGAUGUGUUCCUCCCACUCCUAGUCAUCCUGCCCCAAGCUAAGGAUGUGUGAGCUACGAUACACUCAGGGAAGCAGCAGGGCAUAAUUACUAACUGCUGGUCUGCAGACCUGCUGCAAGCCUGGGCCUGGUAACGUCACCAGCUAAGACAGCUUGGGUGAGUCACUCAGCCUUUCCGGGCUGGCUUUGGUUUUGUUACCUGUAGGAUAUCCAUGACAAUGACACUUCCUCACUGUGCUAUCUCUCAGGGAUUCCUGGAGGGCUCAAUGAGCUAAAGCAGGCACUGGUUUGUAAACUAAUUUUUUUUUUCUUGAGACGGAGUUUUGCUCUUGUUACCCAGGCUGGAGUGCAAUGGUGUGAUCUCGGCUCACCGCAACCUCCACCUCCUGGGUUCAGGCAAUUCUCCUGCCUCAGCCUCCACCUGGAGGCCUCCUCCAGGAUUACAGGCACGCGCCACCACGCCCAGCUAAAUUUUUGUAUUUUUAGUAGAGACAGGGUUUCACCAUGUUGACCAGGACGGUCUCGAUCUGUUGACCUCAUGAUCCACCCGCCUCAGCCUCCCAAAGUGCUGGGAUUACAGGCUUGAGCCACCGCGCCCGGCCCCAUAAACUAAUUUUUUUUUGGAGAUGGGGUCUCACUAUGUUGCCCAGACUGAUCUCGAACUCCCGGCCUCAAGCGAUCCUCCCACUGUGCCUCCCAAAGUGCUGGGAUUACAGGCAUGAGCCACUGUGCCUGGCCUUGGUUUAUAAGCCGUAAAAUAAACAUCAUCUUUGGCUUUUAAUGGAGAAUCGCUGGGAUGUCCAAUCGACCCCUUUAGGCCUUAUUUUCAUGUUGGACUCAAAUUUUCUCAAGGUCUUACCCAGUUCCAACACUUGGGCUGGGUUGAUUAUGGACAGCUUCAUGGAGGAAUCAGCACUUCAGCCCCUUUGAGUCUCACAACAGACUGCACUUAGCCAUUUAAAAACUAAAGAAAAGACUGAAACAGAAGGAAGAAACGCUCACCAAAGGCACAGAGCCAGCUGCAGGCGAGCAGAGCACUUAACUCCAGAGAAGCUGCCCAUGGGUGGGGAGCACACAGUCACUGUGAGAGGGCCACCUGCAUCAGCCAAGCCAGCACGCCGA